GGGGGUAUAGCUCAGCUGGGAGAGCAGCAGACUGAAGUCAGAAUCCGUGUGGAGCUUUGGCUUUCUGAAGGUCCCGCGUUCGAUCCGCGGUACCCCCA